rnacentral:misc_RNA from 1 species
AACAUCGCGCACCUGCGGGAACCUGCGGAAGGAUCAUUACGAGAGUGUCACCACUCCCAACCCAUUGUUUACCUACCCGUCCACCGUGCUUCGGCAGGCAGCCCUGUGGGACAGAGCCUCGCCCCCUUUCGCGGGGGGUGCCUGCCGCUUGCCAACCAAAACUCUAGCUGUUUUAGUACCAUCUGAGUCUUCCACAAAUGAACAAAACUUUCAACAACGGAUCUCAGAUCGGAAGAGCAC